rnacentral:rRNA from 1 species
UACGUAGGGUGCGAGCGUUAAUCGGAAUUACUGGGCGUAAAGCGCGCGCAGGCGGUUUCUUAAGUCUGAUGUGAAAGCCCACGGCUCAACCGUGGAGGGUCAUUGGAAACUGGGGAACUUGAGUGCAGAAGAGAAAAGCGGAAUUCCACGUGUAGCGGUGAAAUGCGUAGAGAUGUGGAGGAACACCAGUGGCGAAGGCGGCUUUUUGGUCUGUAACUGACGCUGAGGCGCGAAAGCGUGGGGAGCAAACAGG